rnacentral:rRNA from 1 species
CAGUCGCCACGGUAAUACGAAGGGUGCAAGCGUUACUCGGAAUUACUGGGCGUAAAGCGUGUGUAGGUGGUUGUUUAAGUCUGUCGUGAAAGCCCUGGGCUCAACCUGGGAAUUGCGAUGGAUACUGGGCGACUAGAGUGCGGUAGAGGAUAGUGGAAUUUCCGGUGUAGCAGUGAAAUGCGUAGAGAUCGGAAGGAACAUCUGUGGCGAAGGCGACUAUCUGGGCCAACACUGACACUGAGACACGAAAGCGUGGGGAGCAAACAGGAUUAGAUACCCCUGUAGUCCCUGUCUCUUAUAC